rnacentral:rRNA from 1 species
CAGAGGAGCCAAGCGUUGUCCGGAUUGACUGGGCGUAAAGCGCACGCAGGCGGUCGCGCGCGUGGGGUGUGAAAUCUGGCCGCUUAACGGCCAGGCGCCAUCCCAUACGGCACGACUGGAGGGCUGCAGAGGUCGAUGGAAUUGCCGGUGUAGUGGUGAAAUGCGUAGAGAUCGGCAGGAACACCCAGGGGGAAACCAGUCGACUGGGCAGCACCUGACGCUGAGGUGCGAGAGCGUGGGGAGCGAACCGGAUUAGAUACCCGGGUAGUCCACGCCGUAAACGAUGGCCACUCGGCCUUUGGAGGCGGAAUCUCCGUCUGUGGGGCCUUAGCUAACGCGGGAAGUGGCCCGCCUGGGAACUACGAGCGCAAGCUUA